GUGUGGGAUAGCUCAGUCCAGAGAGCACAAGGUUCUUAAUCUCAGGGUCAUGGGUUUGAGCCCCAUGCUGGGCA